rnacentral:rRNA from 5 species
UUGGCCUCAAAUCAGGUAGGACUACCCGCUGAACUUAAGCAUAUCAAUA